rnacentral:rRNA from 1 species
AUGGCGGGUGCAGCAGCAGCAUGUCAAGGUGUAUGGUUCGCAAGGCUGCUUGCAGAUCUGAUGGGAGAAGAAGUCCAACCAACACUGCUAAGAAUAGAUAACCAGUCAGCCAUUUCCCUCUCCAAGAAUCCAGUCCAUCAUGAGAGAAGUAAGCACAUUGAUAUCCGAUAUCAUUUUAUUCGGGAGUGUGUUGAGGAUGGACAGAUCAAGGUGGAGCAUGUUCGUACUAAUGAUCAGUUCGCUGAUAUUCUUACAAAGCCGCUUGGAAGGGUGAAGUUCUUGGAGAUGCGUGGCAGAAUCGACAUGCGUUCAUGUUGA